rnacentral:rRNA from 1 species
GUAGGGAAUAUUGGACAAUGGGUGAGAGCCUGAUCCAGCCAUGCCGCGUGCAGGAAGAAGGCGUUAUGCGUUGUAAACUGCUUUUGCCAGGGGAUAAAAUGACCGUGCGCGGUUAAUUGAAGGUACCUGGUGAAUAAGCCACGGCUAACUACGUGCCAGCAGCCGCGGUAAUACGUAGGUGGCAAGCGUUGUCCGGAUUUAUUGGGUUUAAAGGGUGCGUAGGUGGCUAACUAAGUCAGUGGUGAAAUAUCUCAGCUUAACUGAGAGGGUGCCAUUGAUACUGGAUAGCUUGAGUACAGAUGAGGUAGGCGGAAUUGACGGUGUAGCGGUGAAAUGCAUAGAUAUCGUCAAGAACACCGAUAGCGAAGGCAGCUUACCAAGCUGUAACUGACACUGAGGCACGAAAGUGUGGGGAUCAAACAGGAUUAGAUACCCGGGUAGUCC